UGGUGAGGAGAGAGAUGACGGAGAGAGAACCGGCCGGAACCUCGAAUUUAGGACCCAUGUGUCGGUCCAUUUUCAGAGCUUGAUAAACCGUGAAUGUUCCUUGUUGUGACAUUGCCAUGAGUGAUAUUAUUCCGGCCGACCAAACAGGUGUUGGGAAAAUUAGCGGAUAAUAUUUUCUUUGAGAGGUUAAGAUGGAAUGUAGACGGUUAGUGUUUGAGAUAGCCUUCGUAUUUUGGAAAGGGAUUUUUUACUAAAGCUUUUAUUUGGAGAUUUCUAUAACUCUUUCUAAAAUGUUUUCUCUCUAUUACUUUGCUUGAUUCUUGGAUGAUUACAACAGAACUAAACACCCCUAUUUAUACUAGUGAGGGGUAUGUACAAGCUACUUCUAGAACUUUCUUUUGAUCUUAUCCUAAACACAUUCUACACACUUCUUCUUCUUCUACACAAUUCUUCUUCUAUACUUCUCCACUUUUUUUCUAGAUGUUUCUUCUUCUUGGGCUAAGGUUUGAUUAUGAUUUAAUUAGUUUUGGGCUUAAGGAGGGAAAUCCAACAAAUCUCCCCCUUCCUGACUUAGCCCGAAACAGUCGCCAUGCCCGUGCCUUUGCAGCAAUCUUCAAAUUUCUUGAGCGGUAAUACCUUGGUCAUAAAAUCUGACCAGUUUUCAUCUGUGUGUACCUUGUUGAGAUGUAUGAGCUUCUCUUCAAGAACUUCUCGGAUCCAAUGAUGCCGAAUGUCGAUGUGCUUCGAGCGGGAGUGAAACGUUGGGUUCUUUGCUAGGUGAAUAGCACUUUGAUUGUCACAUAACAAGUUGUACUUGUCUUGCUUCACUCCCAAUUCAUGUAAGAAGUUCUUCAUCCAUAGCAUCUCCUUGCACGCUUCCGUUGCUGCGAUAUACUCUGCUUCCGUGGUGGAUAAGGCAACACACUUUUGUAGCUUCGACUGCCAUGAAACAGCUCCCCCUGCAAAGGUAGUUACAAAUCCUGAUGUGGAUUUUCUUGAAUCUUUAUCACCAGCCCAAUCUGCAUCUGUGUAACCGUUCAACUCCAAUUUUCCAUUGCCAAAACAUAAACACUUCUUCGUUGUGCCUCGUAGAUAGCGUAGGAUCCACUUAACUGCUUUCCAAUGCUCUUUUCCUGGAUUCGCUAGAAAGCGACUCACAACUCCUACAGCAUAGGUAAUGUCGGGUCUGGUGCACACCAUAGCAUACAUGAGACUGCCCACGGCUGAUGCAUAUGGGGUAGUCUUCAUUUCCUCUUUCUCCUUCUCACUUGUUGGACUUUGCUUUGAACUUAGCUUGAAAUGUCCACCAAGUGGAGUGCUCACCGGCUUUGCUUUGUGCAUGUUAAAUCUCUCCAACACCCUUUCAACAUAUCGUUCUUGGGACAACCAUAGAAGCUUCUUUGGUCUAUCCCGAGUGAUCUUCAUUCCAAGAAUCUGUCUCGCUUGCCCCAAAUCUUUCAUCGCAAAACACCUUCCCAAAUCUUUCUUCAAUGCGGCUAUCUUGUUGCGAUCUUGGCCCACAAUUAGCAUAUCGUCAACAUAGAGCAAUAAUAUGAGAAAGUCAUCGCUUUCAUACCUCUUUAUGAAAAUGCAAUGAUCAUUCUGGGUUUUCUUGAAGUUGUGAUCCACCAUGAAGGAGUCAAACUUCUUGUACCAUUGUCUUGGGGCUUGCUUGAGGCCGUAAAGACUCUUCUUUAAUCGGCACACCAAGUCUUCUUUUCCUGGAACCUUGAAUCCUUCAGGUUGCUCCAUAUAGAUCUCCUCCUCAAGUUCACCAUGUAGAAAGGCCGUCUUGACAUCGAGUUGUUCAAUCUCCAAGUCUAGAACCGCUGCUAGACUAAGAACCACUCGGAUAGAGGACAUCUUCACUACUGGAGAGAACAUUUCUUCAGAAUCUAUGCCUUUCUUCUGGUUGAAUCCUUUCACAACCAAUCGGGCUUUGUAUCUUGGAUUUGAGCUUCUCUCCUCAUACUUCAACCUGUACACCCACUUGUUCUUCAAGGCUCUCUUUCCUUUUGGUAGCUUCACCAGCUCGUAAGUGUGAUUAUCAUGCAAGGAUUGCAUUUCAUCUUGCAUGGCUUCAACCCACUCAUCUUUAUGAGUGUCUCCUAUGGCCUCUUCAUAGCUUUGAGGCUCCCCCUCAUCUGUAAGAUUAACGUACUCAUCUCGAUAAUAUCUUACAGAUGGUCUUGUCUCUCUUGCAGACCUUCUUGGCUCAUGUUCUUCCUCUGGCUCCACUUGAUCUUCUUCUUCACCUUCAUCACCAUUCGGAUCCAUGAUGGGAUCCCCUUCGCCGUCAUCUCCAAUCACUUGUUCAUGAUCUUGGGGCUUAUAAGAAUCUUCAUUCCUUACAACCCUUAGCUUUGGUUUCUUUAAUUUGUUGAUGUCUUCGAUUGUUUGAUCUUCGAAGAAAACAACAUCUCUGCUCCGGAUAACUUUUCUGUUAACCGGAUCCCAAAGCCGAUAGCCGAAAUCAUCUCUAGGUGACCCAAGAUAGAUGCACUCUUUAGUCUUGGAGUCUAGCUUGGCUCGUUCAUCCUUAGGUAUAUGGACGAACGCUCUGCAACCGAACACCUUUAAAUGGUUGUAAGAAACCUUCUUACCCGACCAAACUUCCUCCGGGACAUCGCCUUCCAAAGGAACUGAUGGUGUGAGAUUUAUGACGUCCACUGCAGUCUUUAUGGCUUCUCCCCAAAAUGGCUUGGGUAGUUUAGCGUGAGAGAGCAUGCACCGAACUCUUUCUGUGAUCGUUCGAUUCAUUCUUUCAGCUAGCCCAUUCAGUUGCGGCGUCUUUGGUGGUGUCUUCUCCAUUCUGAUUCCAUGAGCUUUGCAAAACGCUUCAAAGGGACCUCGAUACUCUCCACCAUUGUCAGAUCGAACACACUUGAGUUUUUGACCCGUACUUCGUUCUGCUUGGGCUACAAACUCCUUGAAAGCAUCGAGAACUUGAUCUUUUGUUUUCAAAAGAUGUAUCCACACCUUUCUUGAAUGGUCAUCAAUAAAGGUGACGAAAUAUGAUGCACCUCCAUUGGAUUUCUCGGACAUGGAGCAUACGUCAGUAUGCACAAGAUCAAGAAUAUGCUUUCUUCUCAUAGGCGUAGACGAUCUUCGGAAAGCGACUCUAUGUUGUUUUCCGGCUAAGCAAUCAUGACAUGGUGAGAGAGAGAGACCUUUCAUAUCAGGAAGAAGUUUCUUGCGAGAAAGUAUGUUUAAACCUUUCUCACUCAUAUGCCCGAGUCUUCGAUGCCAUAUAUCCAUGUCAUCACUUGCGACAUUUACUUCUUCCUUGCAAAGCUUGGCUUGAGUCACAUAUAAUGAGCCUUCUUUACUUCCUCGAGCCAUGAUCAAACUUCCUUUGGUUAGCUUCCAUUUGCCACUACCAAAGUGGCUAUCGAAACCGGCAUCAUCGAACUUCCCGGUUGAUAUGAGAUUGAGCCGAAUGUCGGGGACAUGCCUCACAUCUUUGAGAACUAUCUUACAUCCCGUGUUUGAUGUAAGAUUAACAUCCCCCUUUCCAACGAUCUUGCUUCUUCCUUGAUUUCCCAUUUGAACAUUACCGAAGUCACCACUUUGGUAGGUUGUGAAGAAGCUUCCAUGAGGGGUGACAUGAAAAGAAGCACCAGAAUCAACGAUCCAUGAACUAUCAUCAGAGCUAAGAUUACAUUCUCCAAUGAGAUAUAAUUCUUCGCUCUGGUCUUCCACAAUGGUGGUAGUCUUGUCUUCAUGCUUCUUUGUAGGAUUGAACCGGUCUGGUUUGAUAUUACCGGUUUGUUUGUCUUUCUUGAAAAACCGACAUUCCGACUUCAUGUGACCCGGCUUGCCGCAAUAAUAGCAGGUAACUCUUGGACGUGACUUGGAUCUUCCUCGAGAUUGGUCUCGUCCUCUGCUUCUGUUGUGACCACGAGUCUCUUCUCUACCCCGUCUAUCAACAAUGUUAGCUUCUGAAUAAGAGCUCGAACCUCGCUCCUUCCUGCGAACUUCUUCAUUUAGAAGGCUAUCAGUGACGGUGUCCAUGGUAAGCUUUCCCUCCGGUGCUGAAUUGCUUAGAGUGACAACUAGUGUGUCCCAACUCUCCGGUAGUGAACUAAGGAGUAAAAGGGCUUGCAUUUCGUCUUCAACCUUCAUAUCAACUUUGUUAAGUUGAUUUACGAUCCCCUUGAAAUUGUUCAAGUGCUCCAUCAUGCUCUGGCCAUCCUUGUACUCUAACUUUACCAACCGUCGAACAAGAAGAGCUUUGUUUCGAGGUGUUUUCUUUUGAAUCAUGGAUUCAAGUUUUGUCCAUAAUUCAAAAGCAUUUGUGUAGGUAGAGACAUGUUCAAAGAGAGAUCGGUCGACAUACUUGCGUAUUACGGCAACCGCUUUUCUAUUAAGAAUCUCCCAUGCUUUAUCAUCCUUUCCUUCCGGCUUAUCCUUCAUGAUGAUGGGCUCAUGCAAAUCUUUGCAAUAAAGAUGAUCUUCCAUCAUCGGUUUCCAAUAAGAGAAGUUGUCCGUCGUGAGCUUGAACAUAUCACCUUCAAAGGUAACGGUGGCCUCCAUCUUCACUUCUUCAAAGAUAACCGGUAACUCGGCUCUGAUACCAGUUGUUGGGAAAAUUAGCGGAUAAUAUUUUCUUUGAGAGGUUAAGAUGGAAUGUAGACGGUUAGUGUUUGAGAUAGCCUUCGUAUUUUGGAAAGGGAUUUUUUACUAAAGCUUUUAUUUGGAGAUUUCUAUAACUCUUUCUAAAAUGUUUUCUCUCUAUUACUUUGCUUGAUUCUUGGAUGAUUACAACAGAACUAAACACCCCUAUUUAUACUAGUGAGGGGUAUGUACAAGCUACUUCUAGAACUUUCUUUUGAUCUUAUCCUAAACACAUUCUACACACUUCUUCUUCUUCUACACAAUUCUUCUUCUAUACUUCUCCACUUUUUUCUAGAUGUUUCUUCUUCUUGGGCUAAGGUUUGAUUAUGAUUUAAUUAGUUUUGGGCUUAAGGAGGGAAAUCCAACAACAGGGACUAUUCGGAUCAAACACUUUACUUCCUCUACUUCUUGAAUGCUGCAUAGCCGCCACUUGUUCGCUGGAACUCCCUCGGGUGUUAGAUCACCUUCUUUUAUCACCGCCGCUUUGUCUAGAAACCUAAUUUUAUGCAGUUCCAAUC
rnacentral:lncRNA from 1 species